CCUAAUCAUCACCCCUUAGAGUAGAGAUCAGAUGAACCCUCCCCAAAAUUAGAAACCCUAGAACCCUUCUUCCUCUCUCACCCAUUAGCCGCCGCACCCCCUCCCCUUCACAACAAAAAACCAAUCCGCCCGCCUCCUCUUAGUUACCUAUUCACUUUUUUUUUACACAAUCAAUCAUACACAUCUGAAAAACGAGGGAUUGGAAAGAACCUGGCAGCCGCGUCGGCGUCGGCGCUGGAGUUUCGUCAUCUUCGACCAGCUCUCUCUUACCACAACGCAGCAGCUUUACCUUCGUUAUUGCUGUCAUUCUCUUGAGUUGAUUUUCAGUCCGUCAAGGUGUUUCCAAAAUUGAUUGAACCCUAACCCCCAAAAUUUCGACGAUAUUCUCUUCGAAUUUGGGGAUAAUUGUUCAGGAUUGGUGUUGAAGUUUCAUAGGCUUCGAAAGGGGAUUUGAUUCUGUGAAUACAACUCUGACCUUCUGCGGAGUUAUUUUUCUAGUUGAUUUCUGGGAUCCAAGGAAGUUUAGAACUCGAGACUGAAGCUGUUUCUGCUGUUGAAUCGGUUGUUUGGUGGCUGAACUCAGACCAUUAUUUUGGUCCAUUUCUUUUGCUGUUGUUCUGCUUUUAGAUCCAGGCACAUCAGCGCCCGGUAGCAGCUAUUGACUAGUCCAGCUGUAGGUUAUUCUCGGAGUUGGCAAGAUGGUGACGACACAUUCUACCGGUCAGGACAGACGGCCUCCAGUACCACCAGUUGGGGCCGCGAGAGGCCGAGGUCGCGGUCGAGGCCGUGGUAGGGGCAGGGGUGUAGCCCACAAAGCAGCUAGGGCAGCACCUACAGAUCCACCAGCUACCCCGAUUCAUGAUCAGGUCCAGUUGUGGAUGCUCCGGCGGGACCAGCUCAGGCACCGGCAGUGCCUAUUGUUAUCCCAGGUCUUCUGGAGACCUUAGCCCUGAUUCUGACCGUGUGCACCAGUCUUGCUCAGGCGGUCGCUGUUUCUACUACAACAACUACUUCCCAGGCCGGG